rnacentral:rRNA from 1 species
ACGUAGGUGGCAAGCGUUGUUCGGAAUUAUUGGGCGUAAAGGGCGCGUAGGCGGUUUGUUAAGUCGGCUGUGAAAGCCCGGGGCUCAACCCCGGAGGGUCAGCCGAUACUGGCAGACUAGAGUACGGAAGAGGUAGCUGGAAUUCCCGGUGUAGCGGUGAAAUGCGUAGAUAUCUGGAGGAACACCGUUGGCGAAGGCGAGCUUCUGGGCUGUCUCUGACGCUCAAGCGCGAAAGCUGGGGGAGCAAACAGGA